AUUGAACGCUGGCGGCAGGCCUAACACAUGCAAGUCGAGCGGAUGAAGGGAGCUUGCUCCUGGAUUCAGCGGCGGACGGGUGAGUAAUGCCUAGGAAUCUGCCUGGUAGUGGGGGAUAACGUCCGGAAACGGGCGCUAAUACCGCAUACGUCCUGAGGGAGAAAGUGGGGGACCUCCGGACCUCACGCUUUAAGUGGAGCCUAGGUCGGAUUAGCUAGUUGGUGGGGUAAAGGCCUACCAAGGCGACGAUCCGUAACUGGUCUGAGAGGAUGAUCAGUCACACUGGAACUGAGACACGGUCCAGACUCCUACGGGAGGCAGCAGUGGGGAAUAUUGGACAAUGGGCGAAAGCCUGAUCCAGCCAUGCCGCGUGUGUGAAGAAGGUCUUCGGAUUGUAAAGCACUUUAAGUUGGGAGGAAGGGCAGUAAGUUAAUACCUUGCUGUUUUGACGUUACCAACAGAAUAAGCACCGGCUAACUUCGUG
rnacentral:rRNA from 1 species